GAAAAUGCAAAUCUGCAAUAUUAUAUGAUUUCAUUGUAAUAUUAAAUUACAUUCAAACGUGUCUAAAACUGAGUUUUAUUAUCCUGCGAUCUCAUCACAUCUGUCAACGCUUGCAAGAUUUACGUUUGUAUAUGUGUAUGAUCUCAUCAUAAAAUAUGUAAUUUCCACAUUUGAUGUCGAUAUGGUGGUGGGGAUUAUAAAAUAAAAAGAACUUUAAAAACGUUACUCUCAUCAGUUGCUCAUUGUUAGCGGACAACUCUUGAAAAAUACGAGAGAAAUGGCGAACUACUACGUUCCAAUCCAAACCGAAGCAUGCGAGAAAUCAACAUUGCCACACACAUCAAUGAACUACUACAUUCCGAUCCAGACCGAAGCAUGUGAGAAAUCAACGCCACCACGAUACACAUCACACAUUUUAG